GUUUACUGCCAUACCAGCCUGAGAACGCCCGAUCUCGUCCGAUCUCGGAAGCUAAGCAGGGUCGGGCCUGGUUAGUACUUGGAUGGGAAGACCGCCUGGGAAUACCAGGUGCUGUAAGCU
rnacentral:rRNA from 1 species